rnacentral:rRNA from 1 species
UACGGAGGGUGCGAGCGUUGUCCGGAAUCACUGGGCGUAAAGGGCGCGUAGGCGGCGCGGGAAGUCAUCGGUGAAAGUUCAGGGCUCAACUCUGAAUCGGCCGGUGAUACUCUCGUGCUUGAGCACUGUAGAGGCAGGUGGAAUUCCGGGGUGUAGCGGUGGAAUGCGUAGAGAUGCGGAGGAACACCGAUGGCGAAGGCAGCCCCCUGGGCUAACACUGACGCUCAGGCACGAAAGCGUGGGGAGCAAACAGG